rnacentral:rRNA from 1 species
CAGUCGCCGCGGGAAUACGUAGGGUGCGAGCGUUAAUCGGAAUUACUGGGCGUAAAGCGUGCGCAGGCGGUUGUGUAAGACAGGUGUGAAAUCCCCGGGCUUAACCUGGGAACUGCGCUUGUGACUGCACAGCUAGAGUAUGACAGGGGGGGGUGGAAUUCCACGUGUAGCAGUGAAAUGCGUAGAGAUGUGGAGGAACACCGAUGGCGAAGGCAGCCCCCUGGGCCAAUACUGACGCUCAUGCACGAAAGCGUGGGGAGCAAACAGGAUUAGAUACCCGCGUAGUCCCUGUCUCUUAUAC